CGCUGGCCAAAGGCAGCGCACAGGGCUUGAGCGGGUCCGCCUGUGCGCAUGCGCUCAGUGAGCGCUGCUGCUGGCAGCGGCGGUGGAAUGUUUUGGGGGCUGUCAAUGAAGAGAGGCGCCGCCGCCGCCGCCGCUGCUGGCCGGUGCCGGGGCAGGUCAGCCUGAGGGGGCCCUCGGGGAUACUCCUCCGCAGCAGGGCAGAGCCUCCCUCGCGGCUCCAGCCUGACUGCGGCUUGCGUGGCCAGGGUUUGCCAGCCCCGCAGAGCAGCCCGAAGAGGGGACGGGGUUUCGCCGGGUCCCCCAGCAGCCGCCUGAGGUGCCGGGGGAGAGGGAUCCGUAACCCCCGCCUUCCCCCCCCCAACCAGCCGGGACGGGAAGCGGCCUGAGAGGCGCAGGCAGCAGCUGGGGUGAUGAUGAACAGAUUCAGAAAGUGGCUCUACAAGCCCAAGAGGACUGACCCACAGCUCCUUGCCCAGUUCUUCUAUGCAGAUGAAGAACUAAAUCAAGUAGCAGCUGAACUAGACUGUUUGGAUGGAAGAAAAGACCCACAAAGAUGCACAUUGCUAGUCAACCAAUUCCGUUCUUGUCAGGAUAAUGUUUUAAACAUCGUGAAUCAAAUCAUGGAUGAAUGCAUUCCCCAUGAACGGGCCAACCGGGACUUCCGUGUUAAAUUUCCAGAAGAAAUACGCCAUGACAACCUUGCAGGACAGCUUUGGUUUGGAGCAGAGUGCUUGGCUGCUGGUUCCAUUAUUAUGAAUCGUGAAAUUGAGAGCAUGGCUAUGAGACCAUUGGCCAAGGAUCUGACCCGCAGCCUGGAGGAAGUUAGGAACAUUAUUCGGGACCAGGCCUUAAGGGAUUUGAAUCUUUACACAGAAAAAAUGAAAGAGUCGCUUAAACAUUUUGAUGUCCUUUUUGCUGAAUUUGAGUUAAGUUAUGUAUCAGCCAUGGUACCUGUAAAGUCUCCAAAAGAGUAUUAUGUACAGCAAGAGGUAAUCGUGCUUUUUUGUGAAACAGUAGAGAGAGCUUUAAAGCUUGGAUACCUCACUCAAGAUAUGAUUGAUGACUAUGAACCAGCAUUAAUGUUUACCAUCCCAAGAUUAGCCAUUGUGUGUGGGCUUGUAGUUUAUUCUGAAGGACCAUUGAACUUGGACCGCAAGCCAGAAGAUAUGUCUGAGCUUUUCAGACCCUUCCACACUUUGCUAAGGAAAAUAAGGGAUCUGCUUCAGACCUUAACUGAUGAUGAGCUGCACACCCUGGAACGUAACCUCUGCAUAUCCCAGGAUGUGGAUUUUCCUGUCAGAACAGAUCCUGAAGUGCCCACUGUCAGUACAACUGCCUUAGCUGCAACUUUGCCUGCUGAGGAGCUUUCAGCAAAAGCUGAAAACACAGAAGCUGAGUUAGCCUGCUCUAUGCAGUAUGAUGCACAGGAAUUGGAGCAGCUGAAUAGGAUGGUCCACAGGGUUGGAGAUGAGAUGUCUUCCCUGCUUUCCCCACCAAGUGUCUGCCAGUCUCCAGCACACAGACCUGGCAUAAGAAAUGGCUCCAGCACAGAGACCUCGCCUAACAGACAACAUCUUGACAACUUAAUUGACGAAGAGGAGAGAGUGUUUUUUAUGGAUGAUCUGGAUGGAGCAGGAGAAGCUCUUGCUGGGUUGGAUUCAGUCAAUGACACAUUUGCAUGGGUGAAUAACCCUUGCCACAAUUCAAAGCAGAGCGUGCAGCACAGGGAACCUCUAGUGUAUGACAAUGGUCAUCAAACAGAAGAGACUUUACUUUUAAGAGAGGUAGAAAGCGAUUUAAGCAAUAAUAACAAUAUUGAAGAUGGCAAACAGAUGACUUGUAUCUCAAUUCAAAAUUCGUGCAGUUGUUUAGAAGGUCCUGAUUCACAGUUAUACCUCAGUGGCUGGGAUACAUAUGCUGAUGCAGAGACAGCAGAAAUGAUAGCCCAUAGGACAGGUGGAAUGAAGAUAUCUGCUACUGUAAUAUUUAAUCCCAAAUCUCCCGCUACUUCAGAAUCCCCAGUAACACCAGAAAUAGCUAUCAGUUGUGUUCCUGGGUCUUCUGAUUCUUUAGCUGAUGAAGAGGAGAAUGAAUCCCAUAAACUCAGCAUAGCUGCCACAAAUUGUCUCAUUAAUUCCUGUGUGUGUUGUGGCAGCUGUGAAGACAGUAGGGAGGAUAAUAUUGUUGGUUUAAAGACCAGACAUUCCCCAGGAAAAGUUAUAAAUGCUUCUUAUAGUUUAGUAAAAUCUAAAGAAAAGGACCAUAUAGAUAAACUGGAUAGUGCAGUCUCUGCACAGGAGGCAUUAAAAACUGAAACGUCUCCUGCUUUGCUAGCAGAAAGAGAUUCUGGCAGAGAAGAACAGAAACUGUCUAACUCCUCUAAGUGCCUGGCACAUUCCUCAGGUUCACAGCUGGGAGCAGAAAAUGGAUCACAAGUAGAGGUGGAAAUCUCAAAUCAGCAAAAGAAAUGGGAGAAAAGAAGGCAGCCAAGUCAGAAGCAAUCAGAGAACAAUGAAGAAAGUAUGGCAAAGGAUGACAUUAAAUCAAGAGCUAGUUCAAGGUAACUAAUCAUUGAUAUUUAAUGGUUCUUUUAAAAGAGGAAUGUCAUCUUGGACCUCUCUAUAACGGCUUCCUAUGACGUGCUUGUGAAUGUUACCUUAACAGUGAGUGAAGUGUUUGAGACACUGGAUUAUUUUCAGAAUGAUAGAUUCUUUAGCUAGAACAGUAAGCAAUUUAAUAAGCAUGGGAGAACCACAGCAAAUGUUAAUUCAUCAGAUUGAUAAGUAUAUUUACUUUUCAGUCAUUGAAAAUCAACUAAAAGAAAAGAGAAGUUUCUAUGCCCUGGCUCAAUCAAAUAGCUAUCAGAUGUGCACAUAAAUGAAUGGUAGCAUGAGCGUCUUCAUUUAGUGAGGUCUAUGGUAAUAGUAAAGAAUAUAACAUCAUUUAUAUAUAUGCUUUCUCUGAUCCAACCAGGAUUAUUGUAUUUAGCGUGUCCAGGUAACAUAGGACCUUACCACACACAUUUAUUUUGCAAAUACCCAGCUAAACCAGCUACUCUGAACUUCUUGAUCCAGCAGAGUUGAUUGGUAACAGCAGAUAGUCCUUAACUUCCAGUCUGACAUAUACUUCUCUCUUUUUCCCUAUUUCCCUGUAAGUAUGUUGAGGAAAUGAAACAUGCACAACAUUAAAUGAUUCACAGGCAGCAGUAUUAGUAUUGUGCAGAUAUAACUGUAGUGCUUGUAAAGAUCUGGUGAACCUGUGAUUUGAAGCAAAGACAGCAAAUAUGAAGUACAAGCUGUUUUGUCACACAAAGUAGAAACCCCUGAGGGAAGAAAUAGCAGAAUAGCUGCAGAAUAGCAUAUAAACAAUAAGUCAAAAGACUAUAAUAGAAUUAUGCAACAAAAAAAUGUUGUAAGGGAAGAAAAGCAUGAGAUUCACUAAAGAAGGAAUGUUUAGAUCUGUAUUUCAUGUUUUUCAAACUGUGAAUAAGGCAGAAUGAGUAAAAUGCUGAGUCUGACUAUCACAAUACUCCCCUGUAUGAAGAGGUAUACAUGAUGAAAGAAAUUUUUUAGUUUUGGAGUCUGAAGAAUCUUUGAAAAGCUGGGUUAUUCUUCCAUAUGUCAAAUAAGGUUUUGAUAAUUUGUUCCAUUUUGUUAUGCAUUGCUAGCUUUUUUCCAUUUUAGGUUUCAUAUGCGUGUGCCAUUCUGUUAUCUUUUUAUUGACAUUUUAUUCUACUUUUUCUUCCAGGUCUAUUCUGUCUAACUUAAAAUGCAGAAUUUUCACCAGAAUUCCUUUUUUCAUUAAUUAAUUGCAAGUAUUUAGAGUGUGUGCAGUAAUAAGACUUCUCAUGUAUAGCUGUUUUUCAUAGUAUACAUAAGAACUGAGCUGUGCUUAGUAGUGAGAAAAACAUUGCUAUUAUUUCCUCUCAUUUUCUAUAAGCUGUAAUAGUGUAUCUUUCAUUAGCUGUUGUAGUUGGAUGUUCAUGCUGUUCGAAUUUGGUUAGCAGAAGUUUAAUGAGCAGAGUGAUUUUCCCCAAGUAGAACGGAUGAUACAUUCUGGGCAAAUUGCCUAUGCAAAGCAUAUCUUUGUGCUGUCCCUAAUUACUGACUGCAACCCUACAUUAAGAUUCUUAAUUUAACCUUCCCCAGCCUGGCACUCAAGUUGUUCCACUUCUUGUUGCUGUAAUUUCUUAGCCUUACAGCUGUGCAGUUAUGAGUUUUUAAAGCUCCAUUCCCCAAUAUCUUGUUCAGAACUCUUCAUAAAAAGAUGAACAGUUGUUUCACCUACAAUGCUAGCUUUCUAUUUUGGUAUUUUUUUUUCUUACAAGUAAUUCGUUACAACAUUUAGUCAUAUGUAAACUGUGAAGUAAAUGGAGGUUUUCAGUAAAACAGCCUUAGUCUUGUAUUUAAUUGUUGGCUUUUGACAAAAAUGUAAAUAUGCUAUAGUCAUUUGUACCUGUAUAAAUGAAUAGAAAUCAGGGAUUCUGAUUAAUUUGGUUUUAAAAUGUAACUUCUACUGGCUGUUGGAUUUAAGGAAAUUGUUCCUUGUGUUCAUAUGAUAGCAAGAUGCCUUUCCCAUGAAUGAAAUGCAGCUAUGUGUUGAUAAACUGUAUUUAAAUGAAAACUUGUCUCUAUAGCCAGUUUGUAAUCAUUCUAAUCAUUAACCCAGCCAUCUAAGAGUAGGGAAAGUGUCUCCUGUCAAUAUAGUUAUUAGGGAAAGAGUAGUUGAUUGGGAAAAUAACCUCUACUGUCAACAUGGGUGAGCUUUUCUUUAGUGAUUCCCUAGCCUUCUGUUGAACACCCCAUUGAAAUUUCUCUGUUCCUCUUACAAUCAUUUGUUUGUAUUAUAGAAUCCUGCAUCUAUAUGGUAGGUCAAGUUCAGACUUUGGGCUUGUCUCCACCUACCAGGGGAUCGACGCACAGCGAUCAAUCCAUCGGGGGUCGAUUUAGUGGAUCUCAUGAAGACCCACUAAAUCGACCACCGAUUGCUCUCUCGUUGACUCCGGUACUCCACCGGCAUGAGAGGCAUAAGGUAAGUUAACAGGAGACUCAGCUCAAUGUAGGCACCACAGUAAGUCGACCUAAGGUACGUUGACUCGAGCUCCAUUAUUCACAGAGCUGGAGUUGCGUAACUUAUGUCGCCGCAGCCCUAUAGCGUAGACCUGCCUUUUUCAUAAGUAAGUACAACCAAGACUGAAUUUGGCCCUGAAUCUUUUCUGCAAGAUGUUUCACAGCACUAGGUUCAAAUUAGAUAUUACAAUGUUUGACUUCACACAUUGAACAUCAUGAUUCUACACAGUAACUAAGAAUGUUACUUCAGUUAUAAUUCAACCUUGGGGUGAAAUGAAAAUGUCAGUGUAUUGUACCAGCAAGCCAUUUAUCAGCAAAAGCAACCUCUACUAAAUCUCAGUUUUCACUAUAAUAAAAAAAAUCUGGUUAAAAAACCCUAAGCUUUAAAAGCCAUUCAUCUGAUUAAGUUUAAUAUAGUUGACACGAGAUUUGAAAGAGUUAGCUUGUUGACGAUGUACACUUAGAAUGUAAAAGUAGCUGAUAUUUCAUAGAUAAUGAAAUAAUAAUAAAUUAUUAAAUGAAACCUAAAAUACUGGAUGCACGUCCCAAGGAAUGGAGUGGAAACUGGCCAAAAAUUGUUAAAACUAAUGAAAACAAGCAUCAAAUACACAAUUGUUUUGUUGCAGAAAAUAGCCAGACCCUCAAAAAUUGUUCACAUGUUCAAAACUGCAUCUGAACCAAUACUGUUAACAUGUCUACUUGUAUCACAUCAUGGGAAAGCACUAAUAAGAGUGACAUCACCAUUGUCCGACCUUUGGGCUAUAUAAUUUAUUUAUUUAUUUAUUUUCUCUCAUUAAUUUUCCAGCAAGUGAACAGUAAUUAUCACAGACACAGCACAUAGUAAGCAAUCUUUAUUAGCCAGAAUCAAGUAUUCAGGUUUUGUGUUUUUGAGAUUGCCUUUUUGGUCACGGAUGUGUUGCCAAAAACAGAUAUGUCCUGGCUGACUAAAUUGGAUUCUUCUUUAAAAAAAAAGAAAAACAUUCUAAUAAAAGAGGUAGGAGGAACAGGAUAGGAUAGAAAAUUAAUAUACUUCAGAGGAAUACAAUAAAUUUUAGAUGUACAUCCCAGGAGUUGUUGAGGACACAGCUAUGGAAAAUGUGGUAUUAUUGGGCUCCUUCUCCUCGUUUAGUCUGGUCAGAACAAUUUUCAAGAUGUGGAAAAUAGAAUCCUGAUGGUAAAUCUGUCAAUCUAAGAUCUAUAUGGGCCCCAUCACCAUAGUAUCUGAGUGCUUCACAGUCUUUUCAUGUGUUCAUCCUUGUGCAUCCCCUGUCAUGUAGGGAAGUACUUUUAUCCCCAUUUUGCAGAUGGGGAACUGAGGCACAAAGUAUUGUCCUGGGUGGUCACACAGGAAGUCUCCUAG